UUCAACUUGUGAAAGGAAUUUUUAUUGUCCUACCAACUUGACAAUGAUAUAUCUAAGAAGAUAAACCAGUUGAAGGUAGGCUAACCAGUGGAUACGAGCUGUGCAGGAGACCAGAGAAAGGCCAAGGAAACACUUUGAACUCUUUCUCUUGCAUCUCAGCACUAUCUCUGAUGCCAAUCCACACACUCACAAACACACCACAGACACAAAUGCAUGUUUCUCCGUCAAGAGAUGUAAUAUUGUUAAGCUGUCAAUACUUCUGAGUAUUGCACAAAUUCAAUGUCAUCCUUAUUAAAAUUCCAAUGUUACUUAUUUGGCAGAGAUAUUUUAUAUAAUUCUAAAAUUCAUGUGUAGUCUCAAGGGUACAUGAAUAGCCAACAGCUUUAGAAAAGAACAAAGAAAUACCACAUCUCAUGAUGUCAAAACAGAUCCCAAAGCUACAAAAAUAAAACCAAUGUGGUAAUGGCAUAAAGAAAAAAACAAACACAUGACAGAACAAAGAACCCAGAAAUAAGCCUGUGCAAAUAUUAUCAAAUAAUCUUUUACUAGGUUACUAUGACCAAACAGUGAAGAAAAGGUCAGACUUGCCAACCAAUGGUGUGAGAAAACUCAACGUCUAAAUGAAUGAAAAAAAAAAGAAAGAAAGAUAAUGAACUUGGACCUUUCUCUUCAAUGCAAACAAAACAUUUUACAUACACUAAACAUAAAACUUAAAAAGACAUAACUCUUGAACACUUAGAAGAAAAUAUAGGGAGAAGCUUAGUAACAUUGGUUUUGGAUGGCUUUUGGAGUAUCACAUUAAAAGCAGAAGCAAUAAGAUAAUUAGAAAAGGUACUAUAUCAAACUUUCAAAACCUUCUGCACAUCCACACAUCAAGGGAAACACUAAGUGGAGUACAAAUGCCAUUCACCAUUUGACUUCUGAAACAUAACCACCACCAAGGGUGAAUAACUUUUUUUAAAUGGACCAGUGUCUUCAAAGACAUUUCCUAAAAGUAGUUAUGCAAAUGACCAAGAGGAAUUUGAAAAGACAAUCAAAAUCACUUAUGAGAAGAAUGCAAAGUAAAAUCUUGAAGUCUCACCCAUUAGCAAUGGCCACUAUUCAACAAAUAAAAAGUAAUCAAUGUUGUCAAGUAUGUAGGAUUUGGAACCUCUAUGCACUGCUGGUGGAAAAGAAUAAUGCAGCCCUCAAUAAAAGUAGGAUGCAGGUUUUCCAAAAUAUUAAAAACGAACUGUGGCUCAUGCCUGUAAUUUCAACACUUUAGGAGGCUAAAGUGGGAGAAUUACUUAGGCUCAGAAUUUUGAGUUCAGCCUGGGCAACACAGUGAGACCCUAUCUCUCGAAAAAAUACAAAAAUUAGCCAGGUAUGCUGGCAUGUGCCUGUAGUCCCAGCUACUUGGGUGACUGAGGUGGAAGGAUCAUUUGAGCCUGGGAUGUCAAGGCUGCAGUGAGCCAUUAUUGCACCACUGCACUCUAGCCUGGGUGACAAAGUGAAACCCAAUCUCAAAAAAAAAAAAA
rnacentral:lncRNA from 1 species